rnacentral:rRNA from 1 species
AACGUAGGAGACAAACGUUAUCCGGAGUUACUGGGCGUAAAGGGCGUGUAGGUGGUUUCGUAAGUCUGGCGUGAAAUUUCUCGGCUUAACCGAGGCAGGUCGUCGGAUACUGCGGAACUAGAGGACGGUAGAGGCGUGUGGAAUUCCGGGUGUAGUGGUGAAAUGCGUAGAGAUCCGGAGGAACACCAGUGGCGAAGGCGGCUACCUGGACCAGCACUGACACUGAAGCACGAAAGCGUGGGGAGCAAACAGG